CUCCUUUCGUUGGGCUGAUAGACAUGAUUUCAACUCCCUGGAAUCACUCAAGUUCCCGUGAUUAGGAGGUCAAUCCAAAAACCAGCGAGAGCUGACAUUUUCACUCAUCUCUGCCUGCAAUAAUUGGAGGAACAAUUGUAUCGCUUGCUCGGAUGGCCAGUGAGUAAGUGGCCAGGGCCUUCCCUAUCUUGGCCUCCAGGAAGAAGCUGGUUGUCAUUGCCAGCAUCAGAAAUGGGGCAUCUGGAUGCUAUUUCUCCAGCAGAGAAACAGCUUCUGAUUUUUUUCUUGGCUGUGUUUUGGAGGUCAGAUGCCAGAUGUACAAUGAAUGUGCAGGAGAGCUAGGACACAGGCUGUUCCAGGAGUCUCUGACAGUCUGCCCAGCCACGGCUGAUUCCUGAGUUGCUCUUGUUGUAACAGUCUGUCUUUGGGGCCAAAAGUAACACCUCUCCUCUUGUUUCAGGGCCAGGUUCCCGAAUGGAUGUAAACUUGAGCAGACUGCUCAGAAAAGGACAAAGUGAUCAGGGAUGAGAGCUCGGAGGGGCGAGACGGCUCGGGGGGACAGACAGUGGAGCCUCAGCAUUCUGAAAACCCUGUCACUGGAAGAGAGAUCAGAGCACAGGGUAUAGAAGUGGCCUUCAAAGAAAUAACAGAAGGAAACGUUUCUGAGCUGGAGAAAGACCUACAUGUGCAGAUCAAAAGUACUCCCAGGCCCCAGGCAACAAGAACGGAAACAUCAACACCUAGAAAUAGUCUGGUGAAAUUCUUGAACUCCAAGGACAAAGAAAUAAUCACCCACGUGUACUCCAGAGAGAGCAAGCUAACGACAAAAGAAUCAAAGUCUGGCUUACCUUUGGCGGCAUCAGCAGGAAACAGCAUGGACAAACGGCAGAGUUCUGAUGGGAAAAGGAGUUGUGGUACACGAGUAUGCUCACGUGGGAAGGCCCAAGGGAGACAUCCUUAGCUGGCAGUGACUCAGGAACACCACCACCCACCAGCCCGUGCUCAAAAACAAACAUGUGUGCCAGCCACCCAAAGUGCAUGUCAUAACAAAGGAUCUGGACAUCACCAAGUUGGGCACAGAAACUGACGGCCAGCACUGAAGUAGUUUAAACACAGAAUUAAGUUUAAAUAACUGUUGUAAAUGUUUUGAAAGCUGAGCGCAAAUGUCAUGGUUAGCUAGGGAACGGGAGGAUAUUGAAGAUAAAGUAGAGUGAAAGCUCCUAGCUGAGCCUGGAAACUGUGGGGGCACAGUGCUGGUUUCCCCAGGUGACGGCAGUGUGGUUCUCGACCCUCAUGGGGCCAAAUGUUUGUAACAGUGAGGGGGGUCUCCCAUGGCUCCUACUGAUGGGGACGCCUCCACUGCUUCCAUUUGGGUUGGCCUCGGUCAGUUGCCACCAUCUCCACAUAGCGAUUCCAAGUGCCUUCCCCUUGGUUGGGGGGAGUGUGCUGGGAUGUCCUACAGGACUCCCGGACUGCAGGCAGGUUGUCGUUUGUGGGUGGCGAGUUUGUUGUGUGAGUUGUGUGUAUAAUGAAGGCCAGUCUUCAAGGGCAGUCUGGAUCCUUCUAUUCUGCAUCUUGGACCCACUUCCCCUGCCAUCAUCCCCCUAUUCUUAGAUACUUCUUUCCCUUCUGCACCCCAGGUCCGGUUUUAUUUGGGCUCUGGAAGGAGAGAGACUAAUUAGUUUAUAAUCCACUUUCUUCCUCUGGCACUUCGAAUCUUUGUCCUCACAUUAUGGUAGGCUGCAGAGGAUGCCACUCAGUAAAAUCCAGAGAACGGAAGGGAGGAUAUUCACAGAGAAUGACCAAAUUCACAAUUUGGAACGUAACCCUGUCACACUGCUUUCUAGAGCCCUUUAUAUUGUGGACUAUAACACACACACAAUACAAUGCACAAAGACAGAGACCUGUGUGACCUCCACCUGGGCCAAGAGGUAGAACUUGGCCAGUGCCCAGAAGUGCCUUUGGGUCCCCCUCCCAAGCGCCACCCCCUCCUCCUUAACAACCACCACCCUGAACUUUUAUUAAGAAUCACUUACGUGUUUUGCUUUAUAAUUUCACUCUCUAAACAUGCCUUCCCAAACACUCUAGCUUGAUCUUGUCCCCUUUCUUGCACUUUAUAUAACCAAAGUAUAGAGUAUGGAUUUAUUUGUGGGUCUAGCUCCUUUUGCUCUCUGUUACCUUUGUAUAGUUCAUCCGUGCUGUUGCCCAUCACUGGAGUCCAUCUGCCUGUGUGGCUGCACAGUGCUCUGUUGUCGGAGUACCCCGUCAUUUAGUUA
rnacentral:lncRNA from 1 species